rnacentral:snRNA from 1 species
GGAUGUGAGGGCGAUCUGGCUGCGACAUCUGUCACCCCAUUGAUCGCCAGGGUUGAUUCGGCUGAUCUGGCUGGCUAGGCGGGUGUCCCCUUCCUCCCUCACCGCUCCAUGUGCGUCCCUCCCGAAGCUGCGCGCUCGGUCGAAGAGGACGACCAUCCCCGAUAGAGGAGGGCCGUUCUUCGGUCAAGGGUAUACGAGUAGCUGCGCUCCCCUGCUAGAACCUCCAAACAAGCUCUCAAGAUUCUUUCAUAUCUCAAAGAUGCUUCUAUGUUAAAUUCAAUAUCCUUAAAAAAAGUAA